rnacentral:rRNA from 1 species
UAUCCGCCCGGGUACUACNAGCACCAGCUUGAAACCCAAAGGACUUGGCGGUGUUUCAAACCCAUCUAGAGGAGCCUGUUCUGGAACCGAUAAUCCCCGUUCAACCUCACCCCUUCUUGUUCAUCCCGCCUAUAUACCGCCGUCGUCAGCUCACCCUGUGAAGGUACAACAGUCAGCACAAUUGGCACAGCCAAGAAAGUCAGGUCGAGGUGUAGCGUAUGAAGGGGGAAGAAAUUGGCUACAUUCCCUAAUAUAGGAUAAACGAAUGGUGUAUUGGAAACAUACACCUGAAGGAGGAUUUAGCAGUAA